rnacentral:lncRNA from 1 species
GGGAGGGCAGGAGGGCGGGAGGGAGGAGAGAGGAGCGCGGGAGAAGCCGCUCGCCGGCUUCAGUGCCAGAGACGACCUGGAGGGGAAAGGAGCUGUUGCUGUCCACUGAGCCGCUGGUGCUGAACCCGGGGAUCCCGCGCGCUCUUCGCCCUCGCCGGUCUCUCGCUCGCGCUUGGAGGGCAGUGCCUCCCCCCUUUCCCUCCGCUCGCUCUCAACCCCUUCCCCCCGAAGCAACUUGGCAAAGCAGCUUAUCGGACGUGAAGGAGAUUCUCUCUCUCUCCCUCAGCUGGGCUCCUGGAUGCCCUUCUGUUAAACGCGGGAAUUCCUUCGGAGUUGGUGGUGGUGGUUUUGUGUUUGUUUUUUUGGAAACCCAGGACUGUUGGGGGGGGGGUCUCUCCUUUGCAACACUUUUCUUUCUUCUUCUUUUAACGGCCGGGGUCUUUCUGUGGCGGCUCGUCAAGCCGAAGGACCAGCCAAGGAAGCGAGCUUCGUCUGCCCGCUUCCCUGCACGCAGAGGCGGAAAGGACGGGAGGUUAUUAUUUCUCCUUCGGCGGACUUUCGUGACUCUUGGCUCGGCCAGAAGGUCUCAAAAAGAUGUUUAUGUGGUGGAUAACUGUUUCUUUUGUUGGAUGCAUUUUACUGAACGUGGAAGGAUGGCCAGCAAAAGAAGGAUAUGAUUUCAAACCUUACCAGCCUUUCAUACGAUUACGUCACAAGCAGGAAAAGAGUCCAGAAAAUUCAAGAAACAAAGGUAUGUAUUUUAUUUAUUUAUUUAUUUAUUUUAUUUCUAUCCCGCCUAUCUGGGAUAUGUAGCUAAAGGAUACACUGUAUUUCUGAAUGCUGUACCAGAAAUUCUUUAUGCUUUGGUUCUUAAGCAUGUUUUGCAAAGGUUAAAGUGUACUAGGAGCUUUAUGAAACAACUCAGCAGCAUAAUUUGUGGACCUGUAUCUGUCUUAUUAGCAACAGAAGGCAAAAUAUUGGUGAGUAGUAGCAAAUUAGGAAAACUUUGUAUAAAAGGAGAUAUAGUUGAUCCUGGCACCAUUUUCCAAACGUGUGCUAAAGGAAGGCUGGUCUAUGGAGUUAAAUCUAUGCUGUGAUCUACUGCAAAAGCAAUUUAUUACCAGACCGCAUGGGCGUUGCCCAGGUGAUACAAAACAUGUGAAAUGAAAUAUUUAAAUUAUCAAGUUGUUGUUGUUGUUGAGAUGCACAAAUCUCCUCACUUUCAUCCUGCUCUUUUGAAUUAGUAAAUUAUGCUGCAAUACCUGUAUUUGCUAGCUACUGAUUUUUGUAGGCACUUGUAACAAUGUUAUAUAAGAGUUGCAUUGUUCCAGAAUGAAAGAGGUGUAUGGCAGAGUGACCAGGAAGUGCUUUGAGGUGAAACACACCUCUUAAUUCUAUUUACAUCUGGCUUGUUCUGAUGUGCUGUUCUGCAUUUGGUUUGAAGACAAUUUAAUGGUUAGAGUUUUGGAACAAAGUGUGCUUUCCCAUGUAUUAGUUGUGCUAUGACUUGUUAUUACAGUUACACUGGCUUAGCAAACAUAUGUUUUCUUUAGAAAAAAUGUUUAUGUUCAUGUAUCUUUAUAUACAUAUGUGU